AGAAAGACAAAAAGUCUAGGAGCAACGCCAUUGGUUGAUGUAAUAGGCGUAACUAAAUUUAGUCAUUUCGCAGGCAGUUAGGAAGGCAAUUACGGCAGGUUUUUUUGCCAAUGCUGCCCGUUUAGAACCAUUCAGUCACAAUGGGAUGUACAAGACUGUUAGAACUUCUCAAGAAGUGUAUAUUCAUCCUUCAUCUGUGUUGUUCAGGGUCAACCCGAAGUUUAUUGUGUACCAUUCUCUCGUUUCAACGGAUCGUCAGUAAAUGCGAAAUGUCAUUACUAUCGAUCCUUCUUGGCUAACGGAGGCUGCACCACACUUUUACCAGAAGCAGCUGCAUAGUUCUA